AUGGCGACGGCUCACCUCAGCCCGGCGCUCGCGGUCUCAUCGUCGCGCCACCUAACCUCCAAACACGGCCAGCCGCCCAUCUUCGCGCAGCCAGGCGGCACAGCGGUGCUGCGGUCUUGCUCGCUUCCCUUGUCCUCGAGACUUGCCGCGUCGGGUCGAGGUGGGUGGCGGCUCGCGGCGGCAGUGGAGCCCAGGACCGCGCAGCAGGAAAAGGCCGAUGCCUCCUCGAGGCUGGUCCUCGUCGUCGGCGGAACCGGCGGCGUAGGUCAAUUGCUGGUAGCAUCUUUGCUGAGCAGGAAAAUUAAGACAAGGCUGCUCCUAAGAAACCCUGAAAAGGCAGCGUUCUUAUUUGGCAAGCAGGAUGAGAGUGUUUUGCAGGUUUGUGAAGCGGACACGAGAAAUGUUGACAGUUUGAAUCCAGAAAUGUUUGAGGGAGUUACACAUGUGGUAUGUACUACUGGGACUACAGCAUUUCCAUCAAAACGCUGGGAUGGGGAUAACACUCCUGAACGUGUCGAUUGGGAUGGCGUCCGAAAUUUUGUGAGUGCCAUGCCACAGACGGUCAAGAGACUGGUUUUGGUGUCAUCGAUUGGUGUUACAAAAUAUAAUGAAAUACCAUGGAGUAUUAUGAACCUCUUUGGUGUGCUUAAAUACAAGAAGAUGGCAGAGGACUUUGUCCGCAAUUCAGGCAUACCUUUCACGAUCAUCAGGCCGGGGAGAUUAACAGAUGGGCCCUACACUUCCUAUGACCUGAACACACUUGUUAAGGCUACAGCUGGAGAAAGACGAGCAGUUGAGAUAGGCCAAGGUGACAAGCUUGUGGGAGAAGCGAGCAGAUUGGUGGUGGCAGAAGCAUGUAUCCAAGCUUUGGAUAUUGAAUCUACCCAAGGAAAAAUAUACGAGAUUAGUUCGGUGAAGGGCGAAGGACCUGGGAGCGACCAGGAGAAAUGGAAGCAACUAUUUGCAGCUGCUGAAUCGAACUAG
rnacentral:rRNA from 1 species